rnacentral:rRNA from 1 species
CCCUUAGAUGUUCUGGGCCGCACACGCGCUACACUGAAGGAGGCAGCGUGUACUCCUGGAUCGAAAGAUUUGGGUAACCCGCGAAUCUCCUUCGUGCUAGGGAUUGAGGUUUGCAAUUAUCCUUCAUGAACGAGGAAUUCCCAGUAAGUGCAAGUCAUAUGCUUGCGCUGACUACGUCCCUGCCCUUUGUACACACCGCCCGUCGCUACUACCGAUUGAAUGAUUUAGUGAGGACUUCGGACUGGGACCGAUGCGGCUUUCGGGCUGCGUCGGUAUUCUGGAAAGAUGUCCAAACUGUAUCAUUUAGAGGAAGUAAAAGUCGUAACA